rnacentral:rRNA from 1 species
UACGUAGGGGGCUAGCGUUGUCCGGAAUCACUGGGCGUAAAGGGUGCGCAGGCGGAACAGCAAGUCAGAUGUAAAAGUCAGUAGCUUAACUACUGGAAGCAUUUGAAACUGCUGAUCUUGAGAAUAGUAGAGGAAAGUGGAAUUUUUAGUGUAGCGGUGAAAUGCGUAGAUAUUAAAAAGAAUACCAGUGGCGAAGGCGACUUACUGGGCUCAUUCUGACGCUGAGGAACGUAAGCGAGGGUAGCAAACGGG